rnacentral:rRNA from 1 species
GAUGAACGCUGGCGGCGUGCCUAAUACAUGCAAGUCGAGCGAACAGACGAGGAGCUUGCUCCUCUGACGUUAGCGGCGGACGGGUGAGUAACACGUGGAUAACCUACCUAUAAGACUGGGAUAACUUCGGGAAACCGGAGCUAAUACCGGAUAAUAUAUUGAACCGCAUGGUUCAAUAGUGAAAGACGGUUUUGCUGUCACUUAUAGAUGGAUCCGCGCCGCAUUAGCUAGUUGGUAAGGUAACGGCUUACCAAGGCAAUGAUGCGUAGCCGACCUGAGAGGGUGAUCGGCCACACUGGAACUGAGACACGGUCCAGACUCCUACGGGAGGCAGCAGUAGGGAAUCUUCCGCAAUGGGCGAAAGCCUGACGGAGCAACGCCGCGUGAGUGAUGAAGGUCUUCGGAUCGUAAAACUCUGUUAUUAGGGAAGAACAAAUGUGUACGUAACUAUGCACGUCUUGACGGUACCUAAUCAGAAAGCCACGGCUAACUACGUG